UAGCUCAGUGGUUACAGCGCCUGCCUGGCAAGCAUGAGAUCCUGAGUUCAAUUCCCAG
rnacentral:tRNA from 1 species